rnacentral:rRNA from 1 species
AGAGUUUGAUCCUGGCUCAGAUUGAACGCUGGCGGCAGGCCUAACACAUGCAAGUCGAGCGGGGUUUUCGGACCUAGCGGCGGACGGGUGAGUAAUGCGUAGGAAGCUACCCGAUAGAGGGGGAUACCAGUUGGAAACGACUGUUAAUACCGCAUAAUGUCUACGGACCAAAGUGUGGGACCUUCGGGCCACAUGCUAUCGGAUGCGCCUACGUGGGAUUAGCUAGUUGGUGAGGUAAUGGCUCACCAAGGCGACGAUCUCUAGCUGGUUUGAGAGGAUGAUCAGCCACACUGGAACUGAGACACGGUCCAGACUCCUGCGGGAGGCAGCAGUGGGGAAUAUUGGACAAUGGGCGCAAGCCUGAUCCAGCCAUGCCGCGUGUGUGAAGAAGGCCUUCGGGUUGUAAAGCACUUUCAGCGAGGAGGAAGAGUUGUGUGUUAAUAGUACACAGCUUU